UACGUAGGGCGCAAGCGUUGUCCGGAAUUAUUGGGCGUAAAGAGCUCGUAGGCGGUUUGUCGCGUCUGCUGUGAAAACCCGAGGCUCAACCUCGGGCCUGCAGUGGGUACGGGCAGACUAGAGUGUGGUAGGGGAGACUGGAAUUCCUGGUGUAGCGGUGGAAUGCGCAGAUAUCAGGAGGAACACCAAUGGGCGAAGGCAGGUCUCUGGGCCACAACGUGACGCUGGAGGAGCGAAAGCGUGGGGAGCGAACAGG
rnacentral:rRNA from 1 species